CUAUACAUGCAAGUCGAGCGGACAGAUGGGAGCUUGCUCCCUGAUGUUAGCGGCGGACGGGUGAGUAACACGUGGGUAACCUGCCUGUAAGACUGGGAUAACUCCGGGAAACCGGGGCUAAUACCGGAUGGUUGUUUGAACCGCAUGGUUCAAACAUAAAAGGUGGCUUCGGCUACCACUUACAGAUGGACCCGCGGCGCAUUAGCUAGUUGGUGAGGUAACGGCUCACCAAGGCAACGAUGCGUAGCCGACCUGAGAGGGUGAUCGGCCACACUGGGACUGAGACACGGCCCAGACUCCUACGGGAGGCAGCAGUAGGGAAUCUUCCGCAAUGGACGAAAGUCUGACGGAGCAACGCCGCGUGAGUGAUGAAGGUUUUCGGAUCGUAAAGCUCUGUUGUUAGGGAAGAACAAGUACCGUUCGAAUAGGGCGGUACCUUGACGGUACCUAACCAGAAAGCCACGGCUAACUACGUGCCAGCAGCGGCGGUAAUAAA
rnacentral:rRNA from 1 species